UACGAAGGGGGCUAGCGUUGUUCGGAAUUACUGGGCGUAAAGAGCGCGUAGGCGGAUCGGCCAGUCAGGGGUGAAAUCCCGGGGCUCAACCUCGGAACUGCCUUUGAUACUGCCGGUCUAGAGUCUGUGAGAGGGUGGCGGAAUACCCAGUGUAGAGGUGAAAUUCGUAGAUAUUGGGUAGAACACCAGUGGCGAAGGCGGCCACCUGGCGCAGAACUGACGCUGAGGCGCGAAAGCGUGGGGAGCAAACAGG
rnacentral:misc_RNA from 1 species